rnacentral:misc_RNA from 1 species
GAUGAAGAACGUAGCGAAAUGCGAUAAGUAAUGUGAAUUGCAGAAUUCAGUGAAUCAUUGAAUCUUUGAACGCACAUUGCGCCCCCUGGUAUUCCGGGGGGCAUGCCUGUCCGAGCGUCAUUACAACCCUCAAGCUCUGCUUGGUGUUGGGCCCCGCCGCCCCGGCGGGCCCUAAAGUCAGUGGCGGUGCCAUCCGGCUCCGAGCGUAGUAAUUCUUCUCGCUCUGGAGGUCCGGUUGUGUGCUUGCCAUCAACCCCCAAUUUUUUUCAGGUUGACCUCGGAUCAGGUAGGGAUACCCGCUGAACUUAAGCAUAUCAAUAAGCGGAGGA